rnacentral:rRNA from 1 species
GACGAACGCUGGCGGCGUGCCUAAUACAUGCAAGUAGGACGCAGUUGCGAACGGGUGAGUAACGCGUAGGUAACUACCUAUUAGAGGGGGAUAACUAGUGGAAAAGAUAGCUAAUACCGCAUACUAGUAGAUGGACAUGCGUUGUAUUAGCUAGUCGGUAGGGUAAUGGCCUACCUAGGCAACGAUACAUAGCCGACCUGGGAGGGUGAACGGCCACAAUGGGACUGGGACAAGGCGCAGACUCCUACGGGAGGCAGCAGUAGGGAAUCUUCGGAAAUGGGGGGAAAGCUGACCGAGCAAAUGCGCGGGAGUGAAGAAGGUUUUCGGAUCGUAAAGCUCUGUUGUUAAGGAAGCGGUACUUAACCAGAAAGGGACGGCUAACUACGUGCCAGCAGCCGCGGUAAUAC